rnacentral:rRNA from 1 species
AACGAACGCUGGCGGCAGGCCUAACACAUGCAAGUCAAGCAACAAUUUGGGUCCUGGGGCCGGCGGGUGAGGUACGGGGGGGGAAGUGGCCCUUUUCGCGGGAUUGUUCCGGGGAAACGGGGGGUAUACCGCAAAAGGCCCUUUGGGGAAAGAUUUAUCGGAGAAGGAUCGGCCCGCGUUGGAUUAGGUAGUUGGUGGGGUAAUGGCCCACCAAGCCGACGAUCCAUAGCUGGGUUGAGAGGAUGAUCAGCCACACUGGGACUGAGACACGGCCCAGACUCCUACGGGAGGCAGCAGUGGGGAAUCUUAGACAAUGGGGGCAACCCUGAUCUAGCCAUGCCGCGUGAGUGAUGAAGGCCUUAGGGUUGUAAAGCUCUUUCAGCUGGGAAGAUAAUGACGGUACCAGCAGAAGAAGCCCCGGCUAACUCCGUG